GGUUGUGGCUCAGUGAUAGUGUGCACGCCUAGCAUACGAAAGGCCCUGGGUUCAAUCCCCAGCACCA
rnacentral:tRNA from 1 species